UUGUCGCGGCCGUUGUGCAUUCGGUGCACAC
rnacentral:sRNA from 1 species